rnacentral:lncRNA from 1 species
AGACGUUGGCGGUAUCCUUGUUUAGAUCCUUUAAGAAUCGAGCCAUGGUGGCUUCUGGCCAUUCGUCAAUUUAGGCCUUGAUCAUGGUUAUCUCCAUUUCUUUAUAGUACUCAUCCACCAACUUAGAACCUUGGGUCAAGUGUUGCAAUCUGAGGUUCAUGUCCUCGUUGAAAUGAGCUGGCACAAACUGCUUCUUCAUGAUGGAUCUCAAUUCUCACCAUGUGGUGACUGACAGGUCUCCAUCUCGUUCUUGGGAAAGAGCUAAUUGAUCCCACCAUACUGAGGAAUAGUCAGUAAACUCAAGGGUGGCCAACUUGAGCUUUUCUCUU